GAUCAUGGCUCAGGAUGAACGCUAGCUACAGGCUUAACACAUGCAAGUCGAGGGGCAGCGGGAUUGAAGCUUGCUUCAAUUGCCGGCGACCGGCGCACGGGUGAGUAACGCGUAUCCAACCUUCCGUACACUCAGGGAUAGCCUUUCGAAAGAAAGAUUAAUACCUGAUGGUAUGAUGAGAUUGCAUGAUAGCAUCAUUAAAGAUUUAUCGGUGUACGAUGGGGACG
rnacentral:rRNA from 1 species